GUGUAAUUAAUUAAAGUGAUUAUUAGGGAUGCCUAGCAAACAUUUAUUUAAAGGAGGAUAAGAACCAAAUGCUAUAUUGUGCGUAAACUCUUUGUAGCGAUCCUAGGGAAAACCUUAAAAUAUUUUUACGCAGUGAAUUGAAACAUCUUAGUAACUGUAGGAAAGGAAAUCAACAGAGACUCUAUUAGUAGCGGCGAGCGAAAGUAGAUUAGCCUAUUAAUUAUUAUUGUAUUAUAGAAAUAUUUGGUAUAUAUUCAAAAUAAGGUAAUAGGCCUGUAUAUAAUACAAUGUAAUAAAAUCAAUUAGAGUGGAAGAUAAUCUGCUUGAAUAUUGGGGAACCAUCCUCAAAGGCUAAGUAUAAAUGUUUAGCGAUAGUGAAAAGUAACGUGAGUGAAAGGUGAAAUUUAGUAAGUUGUAGACUGAUGAAAAAUACCUGAAUUAGUAAUCAUAUAAGCAAUUAGAGCUAUUUCUUUAGAUUAUAAUCUAAAGUAAUUGUGAUAAUGUACCUUUUGUAUAAUGGGUUAGCGAGUUAAUAGUAGUAGCAAGGUUAUUAACCCUAGUGAAAGCGAUAAUAUUUUUUAACACUAUUAGUAUGUCUGUAAAAAGCUACUUUUCCUAGUGUAAGUGUAGAGUAUAGUUACUAUUAUUAGACCCGAAACACGGUGAUCUAUCCAUGGCCAGACUUGAUUAGGUUGAAUGGGUUAAUGUUGCAGUAUUAUCCAAUGAGCUGUGGAUUGUCGGUGAAAGGCCAAUCUGACCGUGAUAUAGCUGGUACUCCUCGAAACAUAUUUUAGUAUGACUUCUUAAAUGAGAUUUAUGCGGGUACAGCAAUGAUCGCCAUGCAUUAUUCCUUAGGAAUAAUUGCGCAACAUGGGGGGUUGACAAGACUUUACCGUUGGUGUGUUAAACUCGAAAUCAACUUAAAUCGAUAAAAGAAUUUCAGACUACUCAUGAUAAGGUGGGUGGUCGAGACGGAAACAGCCGUGAACAUAGAAUAAGGUCCCAAAAUAAUGGUUAAGUGAAAUAAAGGCAGUUUUGGUUCAAAAACAACUAUAAAGUUAGCUUGGAAGUUGCUAUCUUUUAAUGAAAGUGUAACAACUUAGUAGUCUAUUGAAACUUAGCGCCAAAAAUUAACGGGUCUAAAUUAUUUACCGAAACUAUGUCGAUAUUAUUUAUAGAUAAUAUUAGGGUAGAGGAGCAUUCAGUAUGAUUGAAGAAUAGUCUUUGAUUAUUUGGACAUUACUGAAGAGAAUAUGCUAACAUGAGUAACGUAGAAAGAAGAUAUAAUUCUUCUCGCCGAAUGCCAGAGGGUUCCCAAGCGAUAUGUUAACCAGCUUGGGGUUAAAACGGUCUCUAAGAUAAUUGUAUUAACUUUAUAGUUAUUAUCGAUGAGGUUAUAAUAGAACGGAACCAGGAAAAAAAUAUUAUGCUAUUACCGUACCCUAAACUAACACAAGUUGGCAUAUUUGUAGAGAAUACUAAGGCGGAGAGAUAAUACUGUAUAAGGAACUCGGCAAAAUGCAUCUGUACACUAGAUAAGAAAGAUGACCCCUAGAGGGUAUCAUGGAAGCGUGAGGCACAACUGUUUACCAAAAACACAGAUAUCUGCUAUGUAAUAAACAUUGUAUAGGUGUCGAAUCUUGUCCGAUGUCAUAAGUAUAAUUAGAGGAACUAAAAGGAACUUCGAGAAGCUUUGAUCAAUGACAGUCUUAACUAUAAGGAUUUUAACAGUAGCGAAAUUCCUUGGCCGUUAAAUGCGGUCCUGCAUGAAUAGAGUAAUGAUGCUUCAGCUGUCUCAUACAGUAUCUCAGUGAAAUUGAAUUAGCCGUGAAGAUGCGGUUUAGGUGUGGGUAGACGGGAAGACCCUAUGCAGCUUUACUAUACCCCGUUAUGAGCCUGGUCGUGACUAUUAACAGAUAAAUACGGAGGUAUUCGAACACCCUUAAUUACAUUAAUAUAUGACUAUUAAGGAUAGAUAAUUAUGGAAAACUCACAAUAGGCGGCCAGAUUAUUGGUUUUUAACAAAACGAUAAUGACAGGAUGGUAGUUUAACUGGGACGGUUUCCUCCAAUAGAGUAUCGGAGGACUUUAAUAGGUAUGUUAGCAGUUCUGUUGGAGACAAAAUCUUUAUGUAUAUAUGAUAAACUACGCAAAGGUAUAAGCAUGCCAGACUGGAAGAUAGAUAUAUCGAACAGGUACGUAAGUAGGACUUAGUGAACCGAUGCUUCUUUAUGGAAAGAAUAUCGAUCAAGAAAUAAAAGUUACGCUAGGGAUAACAGGGUAAUAGCUCUCGAGAGUUCAUAUUGUCAGAGCUGUUUGCCACCUCGAUGUCGACUCACCUUCACCUCUUGGUGCACAAGCUAAGAAGGGUUCUGCUGUUCGCAGAUUAAAAAGGUACGCGAGUUGGGUUCAAUACGAUGUGAGUCAGUAUGGUUCCUAUCUUCCACACCAACAAAUAGUCAAGUUUAAACGGAUCUCCAGUACGAAAGGACCUAGAUCCGCGUUUCUAUGGUGUACCAAUUGUUGACCUGGGGACUGAGUUUAUAGAAUUUAUGGAAACAUGAAUUCGUAGAUUCACAUAGCGGGUAUCCUUGGAUUCAGCACCGUUGGGUAGCUACAAACGUUUAGGAUAAAAGCUGAAAGCAUAUUAAGCUAUUGAAGUCCAGUAAAGGCGACUAUAUGGAAAAUUAUUUAAUAAUAAUUUCCUCAAAAGUUAGAAAUAGACUAUUUCUUUAAUAGGUCACGAGUAUAAGUACGGAGAAAUAUUUAGCUAAGUGAUACUAAUUUAUGUUUUUAAUUACACCU
rnacentral:rRNA from 1 species